rnacentral:rRNA from 1 species
GGAAUCUUGCGCAAUGGGCGAAAGCCUGACGCAGCAACGCCGCGUGCGGGAAGAAGGCCUUCGGGUCGUAAACCGCUUUCAGCAGGAACGAAAAUGACGGUACCUGCAGAAGAAGGUGCGGCCAACUACGUGCCAGCAGCCGCGGUGACACGUAGGCACCAAGCGUUGUCCGGAUUCAUUGGGCGUAAAGAGCUCGUAGGCGGUUCAGCAAGUCGGGUGUGAAAACUCUGGGCUUAACCCAGAGCCUGCAUCCGAAACUGCUGUGACUUGAGUUCGGUAGGGGAGCGGGGAAUUCCUGGUGUAGCGGUGAAAUGCGCAGAUAUCAGGAGGAACACCGGUGGCGAAGGCGCCGCUCUGGGCCGACACUGACGCUGAGGAGCGAAAGCAUGGGUAGCAAACAGGAUUAGAUACCCUGGUAGUCCAUGCCGUAAACGUUGGGCACUAGGUGUGGGUUUCAACUAACGAAAUCCGCGCCGUCGCUAACGCAUUAAGUGCCCCGCCUGGGGAGUACGGUCGCAAGACUAAAACUCAAAGGAAUUGACGGA